ACCAAAAUGAAUCCAAAAGUACUGAAUCAACAAGAAAAGAAAAAUGAAAUGAUAAGGCCUUUUGAAGGAUGAAGGGUCACCACUUCACAACAACUUAACGAACGUGCUAAUCCACCCAGCACUGUACAGGAGCAAUGGAAAUGUCUUCGGACACUAUGUCAUGAAACGAUGUAGCGUCCUAGGACGGUCAGUGGGAUAAGCACUGACAUAUAACUCGGAAAAAGUGAUAAAAUAAUGUCAUGUCCAAAAAUCAGCCAAAACCACAUGCACACAUUCAUAUAUACAUAUAUAAGAUGUCGGGAUCAGAUAAGAGUCAUGAACAUGAGUGUUUUAAAAUCAUUAACUUGGACUGUGUAGCUCAAUCCAUCCUAAAGGCAUCCAUGGGCUAUAUCGGUUUACCUCUCCCUAUUGAAAGGGCCUCAGUAAGUGUUAGCCACACUAUCACAACCCAAAAACAAGGGUUAUGAUGGUACUUGUAGCGGCAUACCUUGACAAGUAAGUCUAUCACCCAAACUUAUACAAAAAGAAAAAAAGAAAAGACAAAAACACUCAAAGUAAGACUUCUAGAAUGAAGUCAAACCAUAUAAGUAAUCAUAAUAAUGCGAAAAGAACUUAUCCAAAAUACCAAUCAUACCCAAAAUUAGGUGUAAAAUAGUGUAAGUACUACUAAUACAAUUCAAGAGUCAAAUACAUCAAAAAGAUAACCACAAAGAAAUAAUAUCUGUCUACGAAUACUAAUAAAAACAUAAUUACUAUAGAAAGAUAGAGGUAACUUCGGACGCAUGAAUGUCCAACCGCUACCUUGGAAGCUCCAACAAUCACCCGAGUCAAGCAAGCUGAGGCGCACUCAAGCUAGGACCUGCACCGAAAGGGCGCAGUAGGCAGGAGUACGGUCCACUUGUAUUCAGCAGGUAUCAUAGGCCGACCAAGCAAAGUAGUAAAUAAAGCAUACAAAAUAUACACUAAGGGCACGUCACCUGCAAUCAGAAGCCCAUACCGCUUGCACUAACAGUUCUAAUAUAUCACAUAUAUUGUAGCAUCACAGCAAGAUAGAACACAAAUAUGAAUUAUAUCACAUAUAAGUAGAACAAGAGAAAACAUGGAUUUACAAGAUCAUCAAAUACAACUAAAAGA
rnacentral:lncRNA from 1 species